GGACACGCGUGCAGUGCCUGCGAACAGUUCCAAAAAGUGACUAACAAAACUGCAUCAAACUGUAGUGCUUCAACUGUGAAAACAAACCGGAGAGCAAAAUAAAUUCAAAUCCAAAGAAAACAAACAAAAAGCAACGCUGAAGCAAACCAAAACAAACCGAAAAGCAAAACAAAAGCGUAAAGCGCAAAACGAAAUUUAAACGUCUGUAUAUUAAUCAGUGUCUGUUGCCCCGUGGACAGUCUCAGUCCCAGCCUCAGCUCUUCAAGCCUCAAGCUUCCUGCUGGACAGCAGGACAACUUAUCACCGAGGAUUUGGCAGCGGCGAGUGCAAAGCCGCUUAGAGGCGAGGGACGUCGCUGUGCUGGCCCCAAAGGAAAACGCUAAUCAACGGCCACAGCGACCAGACGACAAACACAGCUUCUGACACUGGCCACGCCCCCUUCGGCUGUACCAGCAGCAGCAGCAGCAGCAGCAGCUAGAAGAAGCAGCCCAAACAUCGCCUCAUUUGGCCACUGCGGAUUAUGUUAAUUAGAUUUUAAGCACGCGACGCUGCCAGGGGAACAAUCAACGUUGUAAUGCGACAACAGACAACUGCAACAACAACAACAACAACAGCAACAAUAAUAACAGCAACAAAAGCUAGGGAAGCGAUGCGCGAUUUUUAAUUGACAUUUGUUGAAGUUAAGCAGCGUUUUGUGCAGCAAUUAGCCAAAAAAAAAAA